UACGUAGGGGGCAAGCGUUGUCCGGAUUUACUGGGUGUAAAGGGCGCGCAGGCGGGAUAAAAAGUCAGUGGUGAAAUCCUACAGCUUAACUGUAGAACUGCCUUUGAUACUUUUAUUCUUGAGUUCGGGAGAGAGAGACGGAAUUCCAGGUGUAGUGGUGAAAUACGUAGAUAUCUGGAAGAACACCGGUUGCGAAGGCGGUCUCUUGGUCCGAUACUGACGCUGAGGCGCGAAAGCGUGGGGAGCAAACAGG
rnacentral:rRNA from 1 species